UUAAACCCUUUGAUGCCAUUCAAUGGCAACAUCAACACUUUCACUAGCUUCCAUUUCCUUCUCAUCAGCCAAACUUCUAUCUAGUAUCUACUUCUUCUUCAUCCCUCGUGUCAUUCACUCCUUAAGUUUUCUUUCAAAACACAUCUUGUAAUUUAAACAGAGAUGAGAUUCUGAGAAGAACCCAUGAGAAUUUAUCAGUUUAGGAUUGAACUUCAGAAUUUUCAAGUUCAUUUUUUGAAGGAGGUGUUGGAGAAGAUGAUGAAACACCAUCAUCUGGUGGUAUUUUAGGAGCUACUGAAGAGAAAUAAGAACCUCAAUGUCCACUUGGUUUGAGACAAUAUGAUAAAACUAUGGAUGUUUUAAGACCUGAUAUGACUCAGAAGUAUGAAGAGGUCUUGCCAUACCCUUGCGGAUGUUUGAUGGAAUGGACCAGGAUGCAGUUCCAAAGUAACAACCUGAGGGGCUUCAGGAAGGUCCUACCUUGACUGAACAUGAUGCGCCAAAGGUUCAAAGGAAAAAGAGUAAGGAUGAGCGGCAAAGAGGAGACACAAUAUCUGAUACAUUUGUCGGAAAUGAAAGCAACUAAAGAAGGGAUGCAGUUGUGUGUGUAAACCACGUUAACGACGUCAAUGGUCUAGCUUUUGUGGAAGAUAUCCAUAUGGAGAGCUUUAGUGUUUCAAUUAGAGGUCGUGAACUCAUUCAGGAUGGUCCAGUCACACUCUCUUUUGGGAGGCAUUAUGGUCGGCUCGGACGAAAUGGUACAAGGAGCCACUUCCUCUUCAGCCUCAGGUAUAUGUCAAUGCAUGCCAUAGAUGGUAUUCCUAAGAAAACGUGGAGCAAGAAGUUUUUCGUGAUGAUACAUUAGUUAUGCAAUCUGUUCUUAAUGCGUGUGCUGAGAGAUUUCAACUCCGGAUGUAAGAAGCUCGUCUAACAGCACUUCAGAGAGAUUUUGAGUUCAAGACCGCAGCAGAAAAGAAAACCGCUGAGGAGAUGAACAAAGUUGAUGUUUCACAAAAGCUUGAUCAAGUAUAUAAACGGAGUUCAUUGAUGCAGAUUCAGCGGAAUCACGGGCAGCUUCCAUUCUUGCGGUUCGUAUUGCUGUCUUUAGUCAGCACCAAGUUGAUUGGCUCGAUUUAACUUCAAAUCCCCUUUUAUACAUGAUGUACUGCAAUCCUGUGAGUUCCUGAUCUGCGCUUUUCUUGCUUAAUUUAUAAUAUUAAAACUGCACACACAUGCACACCCAUAUCAAAGUCAAUGAGUUUAAUCUUUAUUUUUCUUUUCCAAGGAGUCCUAACUGGGAUCUGACUUGGGUUCUUUGGGUGUACGGGAAUCUUACACUCCAACCUAUGUAUGUACACUUCGUCAGGGCCUAUCUUUGGUUGACAAACUGUCCGAGUCAUAAUUGUUUUCUGUCAGAUAUUAUCAGUGGAGACCGAUUCACAAGUGGGGUUUUGCCCGUCUCAUUGUUGCGUCUGGGCAUGGAUUUGGAAUGCUGUGAAGGCGCUGAUACAUGUAAGUCAUGACGAGCAUUUGAUAUCCUCAAGUGUUGGAGACCUGUCCGUGGUAUCUGAUAGCAAGAUUGCAGCAUUCUCUGGAGGUUUUUUUUUC